rnacentral:rRNA from 1 species
AUUGAACGCUGGCGGCAGGUCUAACACAUGCAAGUCGAGCGGAUGAAGGGAGCUUGCUCCUGGAUUCAGCGGCGGACGGGUGAGUAAUGCCUAGGAAUCUGCCUGGUAGUGGGGGAUAACGCCCGGAAACGGGCGCUAAUACCGCAUACGUCCUGAGGGAGAAAGUGGGGGAUCUUCGGAUCUCACGCUAUCAGAUGAGCCUAGGUCGGAUUAGCUAGUUGGUGGGGUAAAGGCCUACCAAUGCGACGAUCCGUAACUGGUCUGAGAGGAUGAUCAGUCACACUGGAACUGAGACACGGUCCAGACUCCUACGGGAGGCAGCAGUGGGGAAUAUUGGACAAUGGGCGAAAGCCUGAUCCAGCCAUGCCGCGUGUGUGAAGAAGGUCUUCGGAUUGUAAAGCACUUUAAGUUGGGAGGAAGGGCAGUAAGUUAAUACCUUGCUGUUUUGACGUUACCAACAGAAUAAGCACCGGCUAACUUCGUG